AGAGUUUGAUCCUGGCUCAGAAGGAACGCUGGCAGCGUGCAUAACACAUGCAAGUCGAACGAUGAAACAUUCUUCGGAAUGUGGAAGAGUGGCGAACGGGUGAGGAACACGUAAGAAUCUGCCCCUCGGUCGGGGACAACUCUUGGAAACGAGAGCUAAUACCCGAUACGCUGUGGAGUGAAAGAAUUUCGCCGAGGGAUGAUCUUGCGUCUGAUUAGCUAGUUGGUGUGGUAAUGGCAUACCAAGGCGACGAUCAGUAGCUGGUCUGAGAGGAUGAACAGCCACAUUGGAACUGAGACACGGUCCAAACUCCUACGGGAGGCAGCAGUGGGGAAUUUUCCGCAAUGGACGAAAGUCUGACGGAGCGACGCUGCGUGAAGGAUGACGGCCUGCGGGUUGUAAACUUCUUUUCUCGAAGAAGAAGCUCUGACGGUAUUCGAGGAAUAAGCAUCGGCUAACUCCGUGCCAGCAGCCGCGGUAAUACGGAGGAUGCAAGUGUUAUUCGGAAUGAUUGGGCGUAAAGCGUCUGUAGGCUGUAUAGAAAGUCUUUUGUUAAAUGCCUCGGCUCAACCGAGAUCCAGCAAAGGAAACUUCUAUACUUGAGGGAAGUAGAGGUACAGGGAAUUCCCGGUGGAGCGGUGAAAUGCGUAGAUAUCGGGAGGAACACCAAUAUGGCGAAGGCACUGUACUGGGCUUUACCUGACGCUCAGAGACGAAAGCUAAAGGAGUGAUUAGGAUUAGAUACCCUAGUAAUUUUAGCCGUAAACGAUGGAAACUCACUGCCGAGCGAAAUACAACGAGCGGUGGUCAAGCUAACGCGUGAAGUUUCCCGCCUGGGGAUUACGCUUGCAAAAGUGAAACUCAAAGGAAUUGACGGGGACCCGCACAAGCGGUGGAGUAUGUG
rnacentral:rRNA from 1 species